rnacentral:tRNA from 1 species
GCAGGGUUAGUACAUCGGUAGUACGGGUGCUUCCCAAGCAUCGGAGGCGGGUUCGACUCCCGUACCCUGCU